rnacentral:rRNA from 1 species
GAUGAACGCUGGCGGCGUGCCUAAUACAUGCAAGUCGAGCGAACAGAUAAGGGGCUUGCUCCUUUGACGUUAGCGGCGGACGGGUGAGUAACACGUGGGUAACCUACCUAUAAGACUGGGAUAACUUCGGGAAACCGGAGCUAAUACCGGAUAACAUUUGGAACCGCAUGGUUCUAAAGUGAAAGAUGGUUUUGCUAUCACUUAUAGAUGGACCCGCGCCGUAUUAGCUAGUUGGUAAGGUAACGGCUUACCAAGGCAACGAUACGUAGCCGACCUGAGAGGGUGAUCGGCCACACUGGAACUGAGACACGGUCCAGACUCCUACGGGAGGCAGCAGUAGGGAAUCUUCCGCAAUGGGCGAAAGCCUGACGGAGCAACGCCGCGUGAGUGAUGAAGGGUUUCGGCUCGUAAAACUCUGUUAUUAGGGAAGAACAAACGUGUAAGUAACUGUGCACGUCUUGACGGUACCUAAUCAGAAAGCCACGGCUAACUACGUG